UUUGUUGUUAUUGUAACAAAGGCGUGUCUUUUCAAACCUCGUGCUCAGUUAUUAUCGUGACUAGUUCGCUGAGGUAAUUGUGUACAUUGCCAGAGGGUCAAGUGUCAAUGUGCAGUCGACACUGUAAUCUACAGUCAUGUUGGAAACUAGAAUUUUCAGAAGUGGGUGGGGACCUCCAGUGCACAAGUCUUGCCCAGGGACUCUCUAUAUUUAAAGCGAGGGUCAUGCGAUCAAGUUCCAGUGAAAGAUACUGUCUCAGGACUCGCCAAGACCUUCCUACAAAGAGGAGACACGAGUUAGCUACUAGGUGAAGAUGGUGUAGAACAGAGAGGAGUGACAGAAAACUGGGGAGCAGAUGAGCCAAUGUCUGGUUACACUGGUUGAGCCUUUUUUUUUUAAUAUCCUUCGAUAUCUAUCAGAUAUUUGCAAAUAAAAAGAAAUAUUUAAACCAAGUUUGUA